GAUGAAGAACGCAGCGAAAUGCGAUAAUUAAUGUGAAUUGCAGAAUUCCGUGAAUCAUCGAGUCUUUGAACGCACAUUGCGCCUCAUGGCAUUCCGUGAGGCAUGCCCAUCUCAGCGUUAGAAAAUAUUCUCAAAUUUUAGUUUUGUUCUAAAAUUUGGAUCAUGUCAAGGAAGCUAUUACUAUUAUUGUGAUCGCUCUUUGGAAAUUGAUAGGUCUUUGAGUUGCUACUCAUAGAACGUGAUGAAUCUUUCUUCGUUCUAUUGUAAUUCACUCUGGUAGUCCUAAAACUUGUAUGCCUGUGGCAUAUCUUGUAAUUUGACCUGAGAUUGGGUAGGGAUACCCACUGAACUUAAGCAUAUCAAUAAGCGGAGGA
rnacentral:misc_RNA from 1 species